rnacentral:rRNA from 1 species
UACGGAAGGGGCAAGCGUUGUUCGGAAUUACUGGGCGUAAAGCGUGCGCAGGCGGCUAUGCAAGACAGGUGUGAAAUCCCCGGGCUUAACCUGGGAACUGCAUUUGUGACUGCAUGGCUAGAGUGCGGUAGAGGGGGAUGGAAUUCCGCGUGUAGCAGUGAAAUGCGUAGAUAUGCGGAGGAACACCAAUGGCGAAGGCAAUCCCCUGGACCUGUACUGACGCUCAUGCACGAAAGCGUGGGGAGCAAACAGG